GACCAAAUAUUGACGCUGAGGUGNGAAAGCGUGGGGAGCGAACAGGAUUAGAUACCCUGGUAGUNNACGCNGUAAACGAUGAAUGCUAGGUGUUGGGGAANNUCAGUGCNGCAGUUAACACAAUAAGCAUUCCGCCUGGGGAGUACGACCGCAAGGUUGAAACUCAAAGGAAUUGACGGGGACCCGCACAAGCAGCGGAGCNNGUGGUUUAAUUNGAAGNAACGCGAAGAACCUUACCAGGUCUUGACAUCCUNUGACAAUCCCAGAGAUGGGACGUUUCCUUCGGGAACAGAGAGACAGGUGGUGCAUGGUUGUCGUCAGCUCGUGUCGUGAGAUGUUGGGUUAAGUCCCGCAACGAGCGCAACCCCCGCCUUUAGUUGCCAGCAUUGAGUUGGGCACUCUAGAGGGACUGCCGUAGACAAUACGGAGGAAGGUGGGGAUGACGUCAAAUCAUCAUGCCCCUUAUGACCUGGGCUACACACGUGCUACAAUGGUCUGAACAGAGGGCCGCGAAACCGCGAGGUGAAGCAAAUCCCUUAAAACAGAUCCCAGUUCGGAUUGCAGGCUGCAACUCGCCUGCAUGAAGUUGGAGUUGCUAGUAAUCGCGGAUCAGAAUGCCGCGGUGAAUGCGUUCCCGGGUCUUGUACACACCGCCCGUCACACCACGAGAGUUGGCAACACCCGAAGCCCGUGAGAGAACCGUAAGGACUCAGCGGUCGAAGGUGGGGCUAGUAAUUGGGGUGAAGUCGUAACAAGGUAA
rnacentral:rRNA from 1 species